rnacentral:rRNA from 1 species
AUGCACGCUGGCGGCGUGCUUAACACAUGCAAGUCGAACGAUGAAGCCCAGCUUGCUGGGUGGAUUAGUGGCGAACGGGUGAGUAACACGUGAGUAACCUGCCCUUAACUCUGGGAUAAGCCUGGGAAACUGGGUCUAAUACCGGAUAGGAGCGUCCACCGCAUGGUGGGUGUUGGAAAGAUUUAUCGGUUUUGGAUGGACUCGCGGCCUAUCAGCUUGUUGGUGAGGUAAUGGCUCACCAAGGCGACGACGGGUAGCCGGCCUGAGAGGGUGACCGGCCACACUGGGACUGAGACACGGCCCAGACUCCUACGGGAGGCAGCAGUGGGGAAUAUUGCACAAUGGGCGAAAGCCUGAUGCAGCGACGCCGCGUGAGGGAUGACGGCCUUCGGGUUGUAAACCUCUUUCAGUAGGGAAGAAGCGAAAGUGACGGUACCUGCAGAAGAAGCACCGGCUAACUACGUG